rnacentral:rRNA from 1 species
AACGAACGCUGGCGGCAUGCCUAACACAUGCAAGUCGAACGAGACCUUCGGGUCUAGUGGCGCACGGGUGCGUAACGCGUGGGAACCUGCCCUUAGGUUCGGAAUAACUCCCCGAAAGGGGUGCUAAUACCGGAUAAUGUCUUCGGACCAAAGAUUUAUCGCCUUUGGAUGGGCCCGCGUUGGAUUAGCUAGUUGGUAGGGUAAAAGCCUACCAAGGCGACGAUCCAUAGCUGGUCUGUGAGGAUGAUCAGCCACACUGAGACUGAGACACGGCCCAGACUCCUACGGGAGGCAGCAGUGGGGAAUAUUGGACAAUGGGCGAAAGCCUGAUCCAGCAAUGCCGCGUGAGUGAUGAAGGCCUUAGGGUUGUAAAGCUCUUUUACCCGGGAUGAUAAUGACAGUACCGAGAGAAUAAGCUCCGGCUAACUCCGUG